rnacentral:rRNA from 1 species
AGCGAACGCUGGCGGCAGGCUUAACACAUGCAAGUCGAGCGGGCACUUUCGGGUGUCAGCGGCGGGCGGGUGAGUAACGCGUGGGAACGUGCCCUCUGGUUCGGAAUAACUCAGGGAAACUUGAGCUAAUACCGGAUACGCCCUUUUGGGGAAAGGCUUGCUGCCGGAGGAUCGGCCCGCGUCUGAUUAGCUAGUUGGUGAGGUAACGGCUCACCAAGGCGACGAACAGUAGCUGGUCUGAGAGGAUGAUCAGCCACACUGGGACUGAGACACGGCCCAGACUCCUACGGGAGGCAGCAGUGGGGAAUAUUGGACAAUGGGCGCAAGCCUGAUCCAGCCAUGCCGCGUGAGUGAUCAAGGCCUUAGGGUUGUAAAGCUCUUUUAUCCGGGACGAUAAUGACGGUACCGGAGGAAUAAGCCCCGGCUAACUUCGCG